CCGAGUAGCAACGCGGAUUUCGGUGCCACUUUUUGUCUGGGCUUCUUUCUGACACAGCAGAAACGGACGUUAGAGGCAACAUGAGCAUCGCUGCAUGGGACGCUAGUUAACAGCUAACAAUACACUCGGCAGCAGG